rnacentral:rRNA from 1 species
UCCGUAGGGUGAACCUGCGGAAGGAUCAUUACUGAGUGAGGGUGUGCCCUUCGCGGCCGCCCGACCUCCCAACCCUAUGUCGACUACACCACACGUUGCUUCGGCGGGCCGGGCGAGACCAACUGGUCGAACCCGCCGGUCCCUUUGGGGGGCUGGAGCGCCGCCCGCCGAUGGCCCCUACCAAACCCUUGAUACCUAAACUGUCGUCUGAACGAACUUUUUUGAUUGUAUAAUCAAGCACCAAAACUUUCAACAACGGAUCUCUUGGUUCUGGCAUCGAUGAAGAACGCAGCGAAAUGCGAUAAGUAAUGCGAAUUGCAGAAUUUCCGUGAGUCAUCGAAUCUUUGAACGCACAUUGCGCCCAUUGGUAUUCCGAUGGGCAUGCCUGUUCGAGCGUCAUUGUCCCCCCUCAGACCCCCCGGGUUUGGUGUUGGACCCAGGUCGGUCGCGGGCGACCGACCGGUCCCAAAGGCAAUGACGGCGUCCGUGGGACCCUCAACGCAACGAGCUUUCUCGGGAGCACGCGUCGAGUCGCAAGGACCCACGGGGCCGGUCACCCCCCUGCGCCACGCAGGAACCCUUUUCUCCAGGUUGACCUCGGAUCAGGUAGGAAUACCCGCUGAACUUAAGCAUAUCAAUAAGGCGGAGGAAG